UUAAUUAAAACCAAAUAGAGGUAAAUUAUUGUUAAUAAUUAAAUUGAAAUAAUAUUUCUAAUUAAU
rnacentral:tRNA from 1 species